rnacentral:rRNA from 1 species
AUUGAACGCUGGCGGCAGGCUUAACACAUGCAAGUCGAACGGGACCUUGGUUUAGUGGCGAACGGUGAGUAAUACCUAGGAAUCUGCCUGUUAGUGGGGGAGUAACGGCUCGAAAGGGUCGCUAAUACCGCAUACGUCCUACGGGAGAAAGAAGGGGGAGUCUUCGGACCUCUUGCUAAUAGAUGAGCCUAGGCCGGAUUAGCUAGUUGGUAGGGUAAAGGACCUACCAAGGCGACGAUCCGUAGCUGGUCUGAGAGGAUGAUCAGCCACACUGGAACUGAGACACGGUCCAGACUCCUACGGGA